rnacentral:rRNA from 1 species
AUUGAACGCUGGCGGCAGGCCUAACACAUGCAAGUCGAACGGUAACAGGAAGAAGCUUGCUUCUUUGCUGACGAGUGGAGGACGGGUGAGUAAUGUCUGGGAAACUGCCUGAUGGAGGGGGAUAACUACUGGAAACGGUAGCUAAUACCGCAUAACGUCGCAAGACCAAAAAGGGGGACCUUCGGGCCUCUUGCCAUCGGAUGUGCCCAGAUGGGAUUUGCUAGUAGGUGGGGUAACGGCUCACCUAGGCGACGAUCCCUAGCUGGUCUGAGCGGAUGACCAGCCACACUGGAACUGAGACACGGUCCAGACUCCUACGGGAGGCAGCGGUGGGGAAUAUUGCACAAUGGGCGCAAGCCUGAUGCAGCCAUGCCGCGUGUAUGAAGAAGGCCUUCGGGUUGUAAAGUACUUUCAGCGGGGAGGAAGGGAGUAAAGUUAAUACCUUUGCUCAUUGACGUUACCCGCAGAAGAAGCACCGGCUAACUCCGUG